rnacentral:piRNA from 1 species
UCAUUUCUGUAAGAUAGCCAUGCAUUGUU